UGGGGAAUAUUGGACAAUGGGCGCAAGCCUGAUCCAGCCAUGCCGCGUGAGUGAUGAAGGCCCUAGGGUUGUAAAGCUCUUUCACCGGUGAAGAUAAUGACGGUAACCGGAGAAGAAGCCCCGGCUAACUUCGUGCCAGCAGCCGCGGUAAUACGAAGGGGGCUAGCGUUGUUCGGAUUUACUGGGCGUAAAGCGAACGUAGGCGGACUAUUAAGUCAGGGGUGAAAUCCCGGGGCUCAACCCCGGAACUGCCUUUGAUACUGGUAGUCUGGAGUUCGAGAGAGGUGAGUGGAAUUCCGAGUGUAGAGGUGAAAUUCGUAGAUAUUCGGAGGAACACCAGUGGCGAAGGCGGCUCACUGGCUCGAUACUGACGCUGAGGUGCGAAAGCGUGGGGAGCAAACAGG
rnacentral:rRNA from 1 species